GGGCUUGACAUCCCACGAACCUGCCUGAAAGGGCGGGGUGCCCGCAAGGGAGCGCGGAGACAGGUGGUGCAUGGCUGCCGUCAGCUCGUGUCGUGAGAUGUUGGGUUAAGUCCCGCAACGAGCGCAACCCUCACCCCUAGUUGCCACCGGGUCAUGCCGAGCACUCAAGGGGAACUGCCAGCGUCAAGCUGGAGGAAGGCGGGGAUGACGUCAAGUCAUCAUGCCCCUUACGCCCUGGGCUACACACGUGCUACAAUGGCCGGUACAAAGGGAUGCGAGACCGCGAGGUGGAGCUAAUCCCAAAAAGCUGGUCUAAGUUCAGAUUGCAGUCUGCAACUCGACUGCAUGAAGGAGGAAUCGCUAGUAAUCGCGCAUCAGCCCGGCGCGGUGAAUACGUUCCCGGGCCUUGUACACACCGCCCGUCACACCACGAAAGCUGUCUGUACUCGAAGUCGCUGAG
rnacentral:rRNA from 1 species